GACGAACGCUGGCGGCGUGCUUAACACAUUCAAGUCGAACGGAAAGGCCCUGCUUUUGUGGGGUGCUCGAGUGGCGAACGGGUGAGUAACACGUGAGUAACCUGCCCUUGACUUUGGGAUAACUUCAGGAAACUGGGGCUAAUACCGGAUAGGAGCUCCUGCUGCAUGGUGGGGGUUGGAAAGUUUCGGCGGUUGGGGAUGGACUCGCGGCUUAUCAGCUUGUUGGUGGGGUAGUGGCUUACCAAGGCUUUGACGGGUAGCCGGCCUGAGAGGGUGACCGGCCACAUUGGGACUGAGAUACGGCCCAGACUCCUACGGGAGGCAGCAGUGGGGAAUAUUGCACAAUGGGCGGAAGACUGAUGCAGCAACGCCGCGUGCGGGAUGACGGCCUUCGGGUUGUAAACCGCUUUCGCCUGUGACGAAGCGUGAGUGACGGUAAUGGGUAAAGAAGCACCGGCUAACUACGUG
rnacentral:rRNA from 1 species